rnacentral:rRNA from 1 species
UACAGAGGGUGCAAGCGUUGUUCGGAAUUAUUGGGCGUAAAGCGCGUGUAGGCGGCUUUGUAAGUCGGGUGUGAAAUCCCUCAGCUUAACUGAGGAAGUGCGCCCGAAACUGUGAGGCUUGAGUACCGGAGAGGAUGGCGGAAUUCCCCAAGUAGAGGUGAAAUUCGUAGAUAUGGGGAGGAACACCGGUGGCGAAGGCGGCCAUCUGGACGGUAACUGACGCUGAGACGCGAAAGCGUGGGGAGCAAACAGG